GUCCAACAACAAGCAGUGCAGAAGAAAAGAGAACUGCUGGAUUCUUUAUGGAAAUACAUGGAUGUGAUUAUGGAAUGUGAUUGAUUCCAGCAGAAGAG